AUUGAACGCUGGCGGCAUGCUUUACACAUGCAAGUCGAACGGUAACAGGCCGCAAGGUGCUGACGAGUGGCGAACGGGUGAGUAAUGCAUCGGAACGUGCCCAGUCGUGGGGGAUAACUACUCGAAAGAGUAGCUAAUACCGCAUACGAUCUAUGGAUGAAAGCGGGGGACCGUAAGGCCUCGCGCGAUCGGAGCGGCCGAUGUCAGAUUAGGUAGUUGGUGGGGUAAAGGCUCACCAAGCCAACGAUCUGUAGCUGGUCUGAGAGGACGACCAGCCACACUGGGACUGAGACACGGCCCAGACUCCUACGGGAGGCAGCAGUGGGGAAUUUUGGACAAUGGGCGCAAGCCUGAUCCAGCAAUGCCGCGUGCAGGAAGAAGGCCUUCGGGUUGUAAACUGCUUUUGUACGGAACGAAACGGCUCUGGUUAAUACCCGGGGCUAAUGACGGUACCGUAAGAAUAAGCACCGGCUAACUACGUG
rnacentral:rRNA from 1 species